CCAUUUUCUCUCGUAUCCUCAUGUGGCACACUCUCUAGGAGAGUUUCAAGGUGAAUUUAAUGGGGGACUGUAUGCAAAAAGUAGUGCAGUACUUGGGACUAGUAAGAGGGGCUAUUACUACCCCUGAAGGUUGGAAGGAUGUGGGAGAGAGGGCUCUUAGUGGAAGGAAGAGUCCCGUGGAGAGGGACUGUGGGAGUGGCUCCACAAGGAAGGAGCCAGGGAAUGAAGGCCUUGAAACACCCUGUCCCCUCUGUCUCCUACUGGGCUGACCUCCACCUUCACCAGAUGGCAGAAGGAAUCUGUUGAUGCAGCCUGACUCCUGGGGCACAGAGGAGGUAGAAAAGGGCAGAGAGCAAAACUGAAGAGACAAAUAGGAGAUAUCCACCCGCUCUCCCACCCACACUGAAAGAAAUGACUUUGUCAUUUGGCAAUAAUGGCAAAACAUGCAAGAAGGUGGCUGGUAGAAGACAGGAAGAGAGCCCUCGUUGGAGCUGCCUGUGCCAGCCCCCACCCGAGCCAGCACCCUGGUCUUUGACUUCCAGCUUCCAGAACCUGCUGGGGAUAGAACCUAGGGCCUUGCACAUGCUGGACCAAUGCUCUUCCACCGAUCUGCACUCCCAGCUGGACACACAGGGAGAGAUUUGAAGAUGCCAUGCUGUGGGUUUUGAAGAUAGAGAAAGGGAUCGGGAUCCAAGGAAUGUGCAAGAUCUCUGGAAGCUGGAAAAGUAAGAAACACCUUUGUAGAAGAUCGUAGAGGAUCUCGGACCUGCUGACACCUAGUUCUGGGACUCCUGGCUUCCAGCACCGUAAAAGAACACAUUUGUGCAGUCUCAGGGAGGAGGCAAUCAGUUCCAGCAGCCACGGGAAACAACACAGUGCUCAAUAAACGCUGAGUAUUGCCAUUAGGUGGACCUCCAGCCUUAGGUCAGGUACAGGGUGCUCAGAAGUACUAAUCACAAUAGCAGUGAUGGUGCCUGGAAUCCACCAGGGGCACACCAAGAUGCCACCUCCAGUUUUUUCUGCUUAAUUUUUGGCCUCCAAAGCAUCUAAAAGCAUUUUGCUCACAAUUUUUUGUUUGUUUUUAAAAAUUAAAUUCAAAACCAGGAACUUCCUCCCACCAGGCAGGUCUCUGCCAUGUGCUAGCGAAAGCUAAUAGCUUUGUCUUAGAAGAGGCAGUGGGGAUAGGCAAUACACCCAGGGUAGAAAAGGGUGCCCAGCCCCGGUCCUGGCACUGCUUGGCCGGUGACUUGGGUCAUCUUGCUUCUCUUCUCUGAGCUUCAUUUUCACCCAUUAGAAAACAAAGGGAUUAAAGCGUCGACAAUUCCCAUUGGUUAGGCACCUUUGAUGUAUGUCACAGUUUGGAUCUGAAAUGUCCCCUGAAGGUUCAAGUGUUAAAAAUGGGGUCCCCAAUGCAGCAGUGUUCAGAGUGGGGCUUUGGGAAGUGACUGGAUCAUGAGAACUCUGAAUUAAUCCUUCCAUUGGUUCAUGAUAGAAUGGGCUUUGGGGACGGGGUGGGAACUGCAGAAGGUGGGGCCUAGUUGGAAGAAGUAGGUCACCGGGGGUGUGCCUCAGAAGGGUGUGUCUUGGCCUUGGCCGCUUCUUCUCUUUCUGCUCCACCUUUAAGGAAGGUGGCUUUGUUCCACCAUGUGCUCCCCACCAGGAUGUUCAGCCUCGCCUCAGGCCCAAGGGGAUGGGGCCUAGCAAUGGAUUGAACCCUCUAAACUGUGAGCCAAGACCAAUCUUUCAUCUCUUGUUUUCCUCAGGCAUUUUGUCACAGUAAUGGAAAGCUGACACAAUGUCCAAGGUGUGUGUAUACUCUUAUUUGAGCCCAGUGAAGCCAAUGCAAGGAAUCAUUUCCAUUUUAUAACCCAGAACACUGAGAGGCCCACAGAGGUUAAGUGACUUACUCAAGUCACAGAGUUGGCAGAGCUGGGAUUUAAGCCAGGACCACUUGACUCCUUUAUGACGUGCCCCUCCACCUUUAACAUGUUAUUGCCCUCUCUGAGGACAAUGACAUGUUUAAAGGACAUAUUUACAUAUCUGCUCUGGUGUUAUUGUUUGGACAUGAGGUCUCCCCCCAUGCCCAAACGUUCCUGUGUUAAUUCAGAAAUAUUCAGAGGUAAAAUCCUCAGAUUAUGCGAGCCCGUCAGUCCGUCCUAUUUUGAAGGGACUCACUAACUGGGUGUAACUACCUGUAGGCUGGGGUGUGUGGCUGGGGAGGUGGGUCACUGGGAGGUGCCCUGGGAGGGUUCAGCUCCCUGCGGCCCUGCCUUUCUCCUCCUUCUCUCUGCUUCCUGGCAACCAUAAACAGAGCAGCCUUCCUCCCCCAGGCCCCUCCGCCAUGGUGUUCUGCCUCUCCUGGGCCCAGAGCUACGGAGUCGGCCCACAGGGUCUAAUCUCUUAAACUGUGAGCCAAAAUAAACUUUUCCUCCUCUA